AGUCUGGCCUGCCCAUUGGGGAAACUAAAAGGCCGCGGUAUUUUGACCGUGCGAAGGUAGCAUAAUCAUUAGUCUUUUAAUUGGAGGCUUGUAUGAAGGGUCGGACGAGAAAUUAGCUGUCUUUAUAGGAAAAAUAAAAUUUAACUUUUAAGUGAGAGGGCUUAAAUAUUCUAAAGGGACGAUAAGACCCUAUAAAGUUUGACAUUUUAUUUUUUGGUGAAUGAAUUAGGAUAGUUAAAGUUCAUUAAAGAGUUAGAUGUUUUGUUGGGGCGCCAAGAAUAUAAAUAAUUUAACUGUUUUUAUGUAGUUACAAAGAUAAUUGAAUUUGUGGUCCUUAUUAAAGAGUGAAGAAUAAAUUACUUUAGGGAUAACAGCGUAAUUUUUUUUGAGAGUUCGUAUCGACAAAAAAGUUUGCGACCUCGAUGUUGAAUUAAAGGUUCUUUAUAGUGUAUCAGUUAUAAAAGAGGGUCUGUUCGCCUUUAAAUCUUUACAUGAUUUGAGUUCAGACCGGCGUGAGCCAGGUUGGUUUC
rnacentral:rRNA from 1 species